GGGGACCCGGGGAAGGAGUUGUUGGGUCAGGAACUGGGGUAGACCGUGUUCCUGACAGUAGGAGGGAGAGCACUCACCAAGUUAGCCUCCUGGAUCGGGUAAAUGUGACCAAUACUCCCACUCUGUGUUACCUCAGAGAAGAGGAGAGGCAUAAGAUCGUGUGAAUCAGGAACAGGAGGAGGCCAUUCAGCCCCCUCAAAUCCUUGCUCCACUAAUCCUCACCCUAACUUAAACUCAAUCCUACCGCUAAACUAAAUCUUUGUCCUAAACCGAGCUCUCAUUCUCAUUCUAAUCUUGCCUCUCAGCCAAAUGCUAACUAAAACUAAUAACUAACCCAAGCCUUAAGCCUAGCCGUAGACUGAACACUGACCCUCACCCGAACCCUCGCCUCAUCACCUUAAACCAAACCUUAAUGCUGAACCAACCUUAACCCUAACGCUGGCCCAACCCAUAACCCAAAACCUAACCAUGACCCUAAUCCUAAUCUGAAUCCUAACACUAACCUUAAACUGAAUACUAACCCUCACCAUAAAACAAUCCUUAACCUCAUGCUAACCCUAACUCUGGCCUUGGCCCUCACUCAGACACGAACGAAACCCUCACCUAAUCCCUGUCACAAGUGGUUAAUGUGCAUUCAGAUGGGUUUGAUGAUUCUCAUCUAUUGAUGUGUUUGCUCUCUGCUUAUGACUGAGAAAGGGCUUUGCAGCUCCUGUCUGGAACAGCACAAAGCUACUGUCCAAUACGCUAAGAAUGUUAUCUCUCUACCUGCAGGCAAUUCCUCACCUGUGUCACAGCCCAAGAGGUAAGGGGAUGAAACUGCAAAUUUUAUAUUUGCCAUUGUUUAUCCUGAUUCCCCUUAAUCAGGGAGCGACAACGAGCAGAAGAACUGAGAGAGGGAACUUGGGUAUUGCCUUAUCCUUUUAAUAUGAGCCUGACAAACCAGGAAACAAUACUCCUGGAAAGUCCCAGGUGGCUUUUAUUCAUUCACAGGGGUGUGCGUGUCACUGACAGGGCCAGCAUUUUAUUGCCAAUCCUUAAUUGCCCCAGAGGGCAGUUUUGUUAACCAGCUUCUAGAGUCACAAAUGGGCCAGACCAGGUAAGAAUAGCAGAUUUCCUUCCCCAAAGGACAUAAGUGAAAAGCGAUGGGGAAUUGGGCAGCUCCUUGAGGGUGAGAAAGCUCCAUGUUUGGAUGGAAACCAGGGACGUGGGACCAAUGAAUAACAGGGUCUCACUGGGCUUUGUAAUUUCCGUGGUAGCUUUGCUGUUUUGUUGAAGCUGAGCGUGGGGUUGAAAGCGUUGUGUUUGAAAUGACAACUUCCUUCCCUUCCCCUUUCUACUGGAAAUAGAUCCCAAGCUUCUGGUGAAGUGGCAGCAGCCAGCAACCUGGAGUAUGCAGUAAUCGGAGCAGCACACAAUGCUGAAAACGCCGCUGCGGAUAUAGUUUAUUCAGUGGUCACCACCAAAAAGAGAACAGAGUCUGGCAGCAGUGUUGGUUUCUCCUCGAAUGGGAAGGAGGAUGCCAAGCCUGACCCCAAUGAUUCCUGUAUCACAUACGCCACACUGAACCUCAGCGAGCUCUCAGAGGAAGAAGACAGAGCGGAUGGAAAUGUUUACGAGAAUAUUCCACACAAGUAAGAAAGAAGAAGACAGAUGAGAGGCGGGUCAUUCGAUUUUUAUAGACUGUCUGGUGAAGAGGUACAAUGUAACUCCUGUGUACAGAUCGCAAACUUGUGAACUUUGCGAUGGAAACCAUCUUUCACACGUUGUUCUGCUCCACUCAUUGUGAAGCUAAUUUCAUGUUGUUGCAUCUGUUGGUCUGUUCUGGACAUUGCAGGCCGUUAGUUUUGUAAAUUCAAAACUAUUUCAGCAGCUGUGGUCUUUGGAAAUUUAAUACCUGCCUCUCCUUCCCUCUCAUGUACAUGUCUGAGGAUUGAGCUUUUCAGUUGGUCCAUGUUUAAGGGGAGGAAGACAUCAUCUGCCACCUUGUGCGCAUGGAACAGGAAUCUCCCCUAUUCUGACCAACUUUGAACAGGAAUUGCCAGAAGGAUCUGACAGUUGGGAGAUAUAUAAAAGGAGAAACCAGCCAAUUUCAAUGGUUACAUUCCAGGGCGAAAGAGACCUGGGGUGUGGGGUUGGAAGGAGCAACUUCUGGCCCCACAGAAGGAACACACACUGAGCUGCAAGCCACUGAACAAACUGGAUAGAAAAGGCAUGGAUGAAACAGAGUCUAUACGGAAAAGACUAGAUCUCCCAAAGAACCAAAACCCCUGCUGGACACUUCAACUCGGCUUUCUGAGAUUCCAAAACCCAUUGUGGGAAUGGGAACGUAGGGGGUUUCUCUCCGCUGCAGGUAUUUUGGAAACGCCACAUUGUCAGGAUGGGGGAUCACACACCUCCAGAGUGGCAGGCUUGACCUUUGAAUGGGGAAGCGAUGGCCUCAUGGGAUUAUCGCGGAACUGUUAAUCCAGAUGUUCCAGUGAUGUUCUGGGGACCCGGGUUCAAAUCCUGCAACACAGAUUGUGGAAUUUAAAUUCAUCAAAAUCCUGUAAUUGAGAGUCUGAUGGUGACUGUGAAUCAAUUGUUGGGAAACCCCAUCUGGUUCACUCACGUGGUUUAGGGAAGGAAACUGCUAUCCUUACCUGGCCUGGCCUUCAUGUGACUCCAGACCCACAGCAAAGUGGUUGAUUUUUAACAGCCCCCUGGACAGCUAAGGAUGGGCAACAAAUGUUGGCCUGGCCAGCAAUGCCCUCAUCCCAUGAAUUAAAAAAUGUCGGCUUUUUAGUCCCGACAUACAGACACUCUCGCUGCACCACAAAAGGGUUUGGGUUGAUGUAAGUACAGGCUUGGUAGAAGACGUUAAGAUUUUAACAUCGAUGCCGUCUGGAUCUGACAAUUGCUGGCCACCAAGAAAGGAGCAGCGCAAGUCCGAUUGCAAACUGGUGAACACCAACAGGGACAACACCAGCGCGAGGGCCAAAGGGUCUGGUCAAUAGGUACCAGGUACCUUUGAAUGGAACAGCAGGACUGUGCUGAUGAAUUGUUCACAUUCGAGCCAGUAAGGAUGGUGACUGGCUUAUUGCUGUUUUUUAAUCACGAUGACCCCUCGUUCAGGCGAAGGAUGUGGGGCAUUGCUGGUAAAGACAGCAUUUGUGCCCCUCAUCAUAGAGUCAUCGGGGCUAUUUCUGUGCUCUGUGACUCUUCGGCCUAACUCGUCCAUGCCAACCUGGUUUCCUAAACUGACCCAGCCCUGUUUACCUGUGUUUGAACCAUAUCCCUUCCAACCUUUCCUAUCCAUGUAUCUGCCAAAAUUUCUUUCAAAUAUUUAUAAUUUUACCCACCUCCGCCACUUCCCCUGACAGCUCAUUCCAUAUACCCACCACUGUCUGUGCGAAAGAUUUGCCCCUCAGGCCCCUUCUAAACCUUUCCCUUCUCACCUUAAACCUAUGCCCUCCACUUUUGGACUCUCCAACCCUGGGGUUAAAGACCUUGGCUUUCACCUUAUCUAUGUCCCUCAUGAUUUUUAAAACCUUCAAAGGGUCACCCCUCAGCCUCCGAUGCUCUGGAAAAAAAAAACAGCCUAUCCUUAUAGCCCAAACUCUCCAUUCCUGACAACAUGGUUAUGUUCAUUUUUUUCACCCUUUCCAAUUGAAUAACAUCCUUCCUGUAGCAACAUGACCAGAACUGUACACAAUGCAACAAGAAUAUCCUUAUCAAUGCCUUGUACAGCCACAACAUGAUGUUCCAACUCCUGUCCUCCAUGCUGCUUUCCCGAUCCAUCACCAUUUCGAUAAUAAUCUGCAUUCCUGUUUUCUUAUUUCUCCCAAAGUGGUAGCCUCACAUCAAUCCACAUCAAACUGCAUCAGCCGUGCAUUUGCCCACUCACUCAAUUUGACCCAAUGGCAUGGAAGCAUCUCUGCAUCCUCCUUCACAGCUCCCCCUCCCUCCGAACCCUGUGUUGAGAUGGAAAACUAAAUGAAAACACAAUGGUCCCAGUGUUUAUGAAGCAAUGGAAAGUAUUGUUCAUGGAUGGUGUACAUUGGGAUGGGUUUAAUCUGUCGCUGUGUUAUUGUAAAUGUAAUUUCUUGAUGAUAUUUGCUUUUGUACACAACAAUGCUGCCUUUGGAGAUGAAUAAAAUUGUAACACACAACAAAUUGGUG